rnacentral:rRNA from 1 species
CAGUCGCCACGGUAAUACGUAGGUGGCAAGCGUUGUCCGGAAUUAUUGGGCGUAAGGCGCGCGCAGGUGGUUUAAUAAGUCUGAUGUGAAAGCCCACGGCUCAACCGUGGAGGGUCAUUGGAAACUGUUAAACUUGAGUGCAGGAGAGAAAAGUGGAAUUCCUGGUGUAGCGGUGAAAUGCGUAGAGAUUAGGAGGAACACCAGUGGCGAAGGCGGCUUUUUGGCCUGUAACUGACACUGAGGCGCGAAAGCGUGGGGAGCAAACAGGAUUAGAUACCCCUGUAGUCCCUGUCUCUUAUAC